AUUGAACGCUGGCGGCAGGCCUAACACAUGCAAGUCGAACGGUAGCACAGAGAGCUUGCUCUCGGGUGACGAGCGGCGGACGGGUGAGUAAUGUCUGGGAAACUGCCCGAUGGAGGGGGAUAACUACUGGAAACGGUAGCUAAUACCGCAUAAAGUCGCAAGACCAAAGAGGGGGAACGUGGGGCCUCUUGCCAUCGGAUGUGCCCAAGGGGGAUUAGCUAGUUGGUGAGGUAAGGGCUCACCAAGGCGACGAUCCCUAGCUGGCCUGAGAGGAUGACCAGCCACACUGGAACUGAGACACGGUCCAGACUCCUACGGGAGGCAGCAGUGGGGAAUAUUGCACAAUGGGCGCAAGCCUGAUGCAGCCAUGCCGCGUGUGUGAAGAAGGCCUUCGGGUUGUAAAGCACUUUCAUCGGGGAGGAAGAUAAGGCGGUUAAUCUCCGUGUUGAUUGACGUUACCCGCAGAAGAAGCACCGGCUAACUCCGUG
rnacentral:rRNA from 1 species